AGUUAGGUGAAAAAUGACCUUUUCCACUUGCUGGGGUCUUCAACAAUGAGGCAUCUGCAUGAUGGAUCAUGUUCAGAGAAGCACACCAUAUGGCCAAGAU